rnacentral:rRNA from 1 species
UACGGGGGGGGCAAGCGUUGUUCGGAAUUACUGGGCGUAAAGGGCUCGUAGGUUGCCAACUAAGUCGGACGUGAAAUCCCUCAGCUUAACUGGGGAACUGCGUCCGAUACUGGAUGGCUUGAGUUUGGGAGAGGGAUGCGGAAUUCCAGGUGUAGCGGUGAAAUGCGUAGAUAUCUGGAGGAACACCGGUGGCGAAGGCGGCAUCCUGGACCAGAACUGACGAUCAGGCACGAAAGCGUGGGGAGCAAACAGG